UACGGAGGGUGCAAGCGUUGUCCGGAUUUAUUGGGUUUAAAGGGUGCGUAGGCGGCCCGUUAAGUCAGCGGUGAAAUCCCACGGCUCAACCGUGGAACUGCCGUUGAUACUGGCGGGCUUGAGUUUGGGAGAGGGAUGCGGAAUUCCAGGUGUAGCGGUGAAAUGCGUAGAUAUCUGGAGGAACACCGGUGGCGAAGGCGGCAUCCUGGACCAACACUGACACUGAGGAGCGAAAGCCAGGGGAGCAAACGGG
rnacentral:rRNA from 1 species